rnacentral:rRNA from 1 species
UACGUAGGGGGCUAGCGUUGUCCGGAAUCAUUGGGCGUAAAGCGCGCGUAGGCGGCCCGGUAAGUCCGCUGUGAAAGUCAAAGGCUCAACCUUUGAAUGUCAGCGGAUACUGCCGGGCUAGAGUCCGGAAGAGGCGAGUGGAAUUCCUGGUGUAGCGGUGGAAUGCGCAGAUAUCAGGAGGAACACCAACGGCGAAGGCAGCUCGCUAGGACGGUACUGACGCUAAGGCGCGAAAGCGUGGGGAGCGAACAGG